rnacentral:tRNA from 1 species
CCCUGUGGCUCAGUUGGUAGGGCAUGGUGUUUGCAAACGUCAGCAUGGUGUGUGCAACGCCAGGGUUGUGGGUUCGAUUCCCACUGGGG